GUGGUGAAUUGCGGGUCGGGUAUGAAAACGACUUUCCGAAUUUGACAAGUUUGAAAACCAAUUUGAGCAAUGCAUCUCCAAGUCUGCUGUGAAGACCAAGUUUGAGCAGCACACUGUGAGCGGCAAAUCCAUCACAUCUGAUGUCAGGGGAAUCAUUGAGCAGGCAUAUACCACAAACCUGCAGUUGAGAACUGAUCAGGAAAACAAGCGACAGGACCGAAAUAAACAACUGGUCGCCAUUGAGAGGGAUCUUUCCUCUCUGGACAUUAACAUUGAGAAAGAGAUCCCGACCAUGGUUGAAGAUGUGAAGAGGGAGGUCGACACAGCGCUGAAUGAGGAGAUCCCCGCUUGUUCUCCUAGUGAAGGAAUAUGACCAAACCUUCGAUGCUGACAAUGUCGAAGAUUACAAUUGGGGAUUGAAUGAACGUGUAGAGCAGGAGGAGAUAGGACGUGGCCUGAAGGAUGCUUUCUUGCAAGGCGUCAACGAUGCUGCAACACGGAUGGCAGGUAAAGGGUGCUAUUUUUCACAGCUG